rnacentral:rRNA from 1 species
GACGAACGCUGGCGGCGUGGAUUAGGCAUGCAAGUCGAACGGUAUGUGUUCUUCGGAACACAGAGAGUGGCGAACGGGUGAGUAACGCGUAGGUGAUCUACCUUCAGGCGGGGGACAACCCAGGGAAACUUGGGCUAAUACCGCAUGUGGCAGCAAUGCUAAAGCCGGCCUCUGCUUGCAAGCUGGUGUCUGGAGAUGAGCCUGCGUCUGAUUAGCUAGUUGGUGGGGUAAUGGCCUACCGAGGCGAUGAUAAGUAGGCGGCUUUAACGAGUGGUCGCCCACACUGGGAUUGAGAAACGGCCCAGACUCCUACGGGAGGCAG